UUGGGGUGUCUGGGGGGGAUUUGGGGUCCCCAGGGUGGAUUUUGGGGUGUCUGGGGUGGAUUUGGGGUGCUCAGGAUGGAUUUGGGGUGCCCAUCAGCGUCUCCUCCACGGGCAGGAAAUAGGCCACGAACUGGUUCCCUUCCUCAUCCAUCAUCCCCCUGCGGGGACAGGCAGGAUUUGGGGGUGCUCAGGGUGGAUUUUGGGGUGUCCAGGGUGGAAUUUGGGGUGUCCAGGAUGGAUUUUGGGGUGCUCAGGAUGGAUUUGGGGUGCUCAGGGUGGAUUUGGGGUGCUCAGGGUGGAUUUUGGGGUGCUCAGGGUGGAUUUUGGGGUGCCCAGGGAGGAUUUUGGGGUCCCCAGUACCUGAUCAUGGCCUGGGACAUCAUCUCCAGCGCCGCCGCCCCCGAGGUGUCCUUGGGCGCCGGGUCGGAGUCGAAAAUCACCUGGGCACAGGGGUUGAUCCACAUCUGGGGAAAAUGGGGGAAAA